ACGACCUUACUUGAACAGGAUCUGUUCUAUAGGAUCGUACCGCUGCAUCCUUGACUAAUAAGGAGGCAAGCACUUAAGCCUGGUUGAUGAGUCAUGUUUUAGUGCCGCAUUUUUAACACCAUUUCAGCAUGCAUCCAAAUGCUUUCGAGCUUGUAUUAAGAUUUCUUAAGCUGAGCAUCAUUACAAAUCUGCAGGCC
rnacentral:snoRNA from 2 species